GACUGACUUCAUGCUGAACUCAACUUCUCACCUGAAAUGGCAUCAAACUGGAUGUAAACAUCACUGGAACAGAAAGAAAUCUAAACUCAGCUACCUGUAGCAUCCAGGUACAGGUUUGUGUCGGAAUAAAGGACGAAGAAAGCUUCUGGAACUGGGUACAGUUCCACACGUAGGGUCCUUCUGGUCGACACACUGGAACCCAGAUGAACCCAACAUGGGCCUGAGCGUUCUUCAGCCGGAGCCACGCCGUUUCUAAAUCCCUCUGUCAAAGGCCAGAGUUUCCCAUCAAGGCCCGGGCUGCGGACCAGAACCCGCCUGACCACCCGCAGCGCCGCGGCAGAGUUUAAUCAAGCAUGCAGGAUUGAACCUGGCUUCCAGGUCAGCCUUGCAGCGACGCUGACCGGAACGAGGCGGAUGUGUGACUCACGAGUUGUCGUCAUUUUUAUCAUGAAGCAGAGCGAGUCUGGACGAUGCGUCUCCACAAAACAACCUGAGAUCUUGCUCUGAGUUCGGCUGUGGCUAGUAAUUCAUAUAAAGUGAAGAGGCCGACACAAGUGGCAGCAGUCAAGCUGAGUAAACACUGACCUGCCUCCCGCUUUCAUCUCUGAUGUCACUCAGGAGGUUUCUCCCAGCGAGGUUGAUCGCUCUUACACUGACACAGUAACGCUAUAAAUAGGAACAAAAUGCAGUGAGGCGUCGCUUUCAUCUCCAAGAAUUUUCCACACUCCAGAUAAAAUGUUUCCACCCA